AUGGACCCCGCGGCGGCUCAGCCCCGGGAAACUGCUGAUCGGACGCCUGCCGAGGACCCUCCCGCCGUCGCCCCGUCCGCGGCGCCACUUGCCGACGAGGUGAUGGAAGAGAUCGCGGAGGCCAGCGCGGCGGCGGGACUGGGAGAAGAAGAACCCCCUGCUGCGGCGCCCGUCUGCGUCACGAGUGAGGCCAAGGCGGAGGAGACGGCUGGAGGCACCACAACGGAGCAACAGAGUAUCGUCUUGGCCUUGGUGAGUGAGGGGAAGAUGGAUGCGGACGAUUGCUGCACGGGGGACGCAGAUCAUGCUGCGGCCCCUGUGGCGAGCGAAACGAAGACUCUGGUAGAUGACAUCACCAUUCAGGAGCAAGAGCAUGCUCUGGCAACUGAGGUGAAGAUGGAGGAAGAGGAUCAACAGCCUACCCAACCUGCUGGUGCCCGUCAGGUGAAAGAGGAGGAGGGGGGAUGCUUGGUGGGCCGCUACAUCAGCCAGACUGCUGAUGAUGGUACAAGGAUUCGUCUUGGGAAGGUUGCAUCAUACGACACCAGCAUUGGGACGUACAGCGUGGUGUUUGAGGAUGGACAGAGUGAGGAGCUGGGGCAUCCUCAGCUCCAGGAGUUACUCAUGACUGAGGAAAAUGGUGCAUCUGGCAUGAAAGUCAGCUGCAGGAAGAGGAAGCUGGACCUGGUCGUUUCAUCAGGGACUGCCACGGUGCUCAAUGGUCCGCCAACUACUAGACAGAAGGUUGAUGCAUGUCAAAUGCAUGAUGCAUCCCAGCAAAGUGGAUCUGGCUCAGAUGUAUCAGAGGAUGUGGAAUCUUCCAGCAAUUCAUCGGAUUCUACUAAAGAAUUGGCAAUCGUGCCGUGCCUGCCAGUUCAGGGCCCAGAGUUGCCUCCGUCAUCAGGCGACAUUGAUGUGCCGGGGGAGUCCACAAGUCACCUCUUUUCUGUUUAUAACUUCCUCCGUUCAUUCAGUGUGCAGCUGUUCCUCAGUCCAUUUGGCAUGGAUGAUUUUGUUGCAUCCAUUAAUUGCUCUGUGCAGAGUACAUUGUUUGAUGCUGUACAUGUCUCGCUGCUGCGGGCGCUGAGGCGGCAGCUUGAGACUAAAUCCUCUGAAGGAUCAGAGCUUGCUUCAAACUGCUUGAAGUAUCUAGAUUGGUCAUUGCUAGAUGCACUGACUUGGCCAACUUUGUUACUGGAGUACCUCUAUGUAAUGGGUUGCAUCAAGAGUCUAGGGGGGAAGAGUUUUGCUCGAAGCCUCUUGGCCCUUGAAUAUUAUAAGCUUCCUGUUACCAUGAAGCUUAGGGUCCUCCAAAUACUCUGUGAUCAUGCCAUUGAUUCUGAAGAACUCAAAACUGAACUGGAAGCACGGGAGGCCUAUAAUGAGGAACUGGAAUAUGAGAUGGAUUCAAGUAAUUUCUCAGAGGCUGGAUCACGAGUAGUCCUGACUAGGCCCUCAAGGACUUCUGCUUGCAAAAAGAUUGAAGAUUCCCAGAAUCUGGAAGCUGCUCCAAAUGUAACAAGUCCAGAAGCUGUUGCAGCAAAUGCAUCCCUGGAUGGUAACAGUGAUGAUUGCCGAAUAUGUGGAAUGGAUGGGACUCUUGUAUGCUGUGAUGGCUGCCCAUGGGCAUAUCACUCAAGAUGUAUUGGUCUGAACAAAGCAUUUCUGCCCCAGGGACUUUGGUUCUGUCCAGAAUGUGUGGUUAACAAGCUUGGGCCAACAUCUUCAAGGAUAGAGCGUGGGGCAAGAGGAGCUCAAAUGUUUGGCAUUGACAUGUGUGAGAGACUCUUCCUGGGAUCCUGCAACUAUCUGCUUGUGAUUGGAACAUCUUCGAAUGCAGAGUCUUAUGCAAGUUAUUACAAUCAGUAUGAUGUUGUCAAGGUCAUCCAAGUACUUGCCCUUUCAGAUGCAUAUACAACUAUAUGUAGGAGAAUAACAGAGUACUGGCCCCACCUGCUAGAUGUAUUUCAGAACGAGAGGUCAAAAAUAGGUAAAAAUACUGAUGCAAGCUAUGCUCUACAAUGCAAUACGUCGCUGAGUGCUAAUCCAAGUGAAGCAGUAGAUGGAAGUGUCCGUUCAAUCUUAAAAGAUGGUGGUGAGAGUAAAACAGCAGUAUUUUCUGAAGUAGAUGUGCAGCACAAAUUUGUGGCUAAUCAAUUUACAGUGUGCUCUGCCGAUCAACUGGAGGAACAAAACAUGGUGACUAGUGUAGAUGGUACUGAGAACAACAACCUACAAACUUCUUUAGCUCAGAAUGACGUACAUACUACACCAAUCAAUGGAGCUUUUGGAUGCUCGGGGUUAUCCUCAGUUUCUCAUCAGAAUGGGUCCACGGUAGCUGGUUUGUCUAACAUAACACAUGCACAGCCAGCAUAUCCGUUAGUUUGUACAGACUUGUCCACCUCCUUUUCAGGGAUGAAAGAUAAUGCCAUGUCCAGAGAAGAUAUUGGGAGCGCCAUUUCUGUGAAGGCAGACUCAUCUUCUGCAUCUCAAAAUAAACAUCCCUUUGGAAACGUGAUUGGUGGCAAGGCAGCUAAAUUGUCAUCAUUUAAACCUCAGGCUUACAUGAAUCUUUACAAUCAUGGCAAUAUCGCAGCAUCUGCUGCCGCUAAUCUAGCUGUUCUUACAUCAGAUGAAGGAAAAGUUGCAACAUCUCAAGUCAUCACAAAUCCAAGGAAGAAAAUGGCUGCUGACUGCGCUCUACAAGUGAAAGCAUUUUCCUCAGCAGCUGCUCAAUUUGUUUGGCCAUGUACUGAAAAGAAGGUUAUGGAAGUCCCAAGAGAUAGAUGUGGCUGGUGCCUUGCCUGUAAAAGUUCGGCAAUUGGAAAUAAAAAGGCUUGUUUUCUUAAUUUAGCCACUGCAAAUGCUUCCAAAGGAUCUGCUCGAAUUUUUAGUGCCAUGCAUGUAAUCAAAGGUUCUGAGAGCCAUUUCCCCAGCAUCGUUGCUUAUCUGACCAACAUGGAGGAGAGUUUACGUGGCCUUUUAGUUGGUUCCCUACAAGACAUGCAGCAGAGACAACGAUGGCAUAAACAGCUACAAGAAGCUUCCAACUGCAGAACUAUAAUACCCCUCUUGCUUGAAUUGGAGAGCAAUAUUCGUGGGAUAGCAUUUUCUGCAAGCUGGUUGAAGCUAAUGGAUGAUUGGCCUGUGAAAUCUCCUGGUGUAUCUGCUGGACCAUCCCGUUCUGCAGCAUACCAAAAACGUGGAACUGGUGGAAGGCGGGGCAGAAAACGUUUGUUGGCAUCUGAAUCUUCUACUGUUACUGAUGAUGACAAGAGCUGGAAAGAGGUGAAUUGGUGGAAUGGAGGACAUAUUUCUAAAUGUAUUUUGCAGAAGGGGGUUCUUCCAAGUUCGGCCGUAAGAAAAGCUGCUCGUCAAGGUGGUAAAAGAAAGAUAGCAGGUCUAUCUUAUCAUGAAACUUCCAAUUUUCCAAGACGAACUCGACAAUUUGCUUGGCGAGCAUGUGUUGGGUUAAGCCAUAAUUCAUCUCAACUUGCUCUGCAGGUUAGAUACCUUGACGCUCAUAUAAAAUGGAAGGAAUUCAUCCCUCCAGACCAAAUUCCUUCAGAUGGAAAAAGUUCUGAUGCUGACCAUUCUGCUUUCAGAAACGCAAUGGUUUGUGAUAAAAAAGUAGUCGAUGGUAACAUAAGAUAUGCACUGAAGUUUUCAAACCAGAAGCAUCUUCCUGUGCGUGUAACCAAGAAUAUCUUGGAAGCAGAAGAUAAUCAGGAUGAGAAUGGCAAAUUGUGGUUUUCUGAAAUCCAUGUCCCACUGUAUUUAGUAAGGGAUUUUGAGCAGAAAGCUGGGGUUAGCUCCUCGCCUAGUCCAGGAACCAUAAUCUCUAACAGUUCCACAAAUUUCUACCAAAGACGUGUAAAGGCAACCAUCGGAGAUAUCUUUUUCUAUCUCUUUCACAAGGGAGAUGUAUAUCCCUGCUCCUCAUGUGAGAAGGAUGUGGCCUUCAGGGAUGCCAUAAAGUGUAGCUCUUGUCAAGGCAAUUGCCAUAAAGAGUGCACAUCAGGAUCUGUUGGCAGCAAAGGAGGCAAUACUGCUCCGAAUUUGAUGUGCAAGUUAUGCUUUCAGAAGCGUAAUCUCACCCAGACCAAGACAAAUGCAAAUUCUGCCUUGUCUCAGCAAAAGAGUAAUGGCCAACUGCCAGUGACUGCUCCCAAAAUAAUCUUCACGGUUCGUUCUGCCCAUUCUUCUGAACCAGCCAUGAAUGUCGCGGCUAAGGUUGAAGCUCAGCCAUUUGCAAAGGUGGAAACUCAGCCAACGAAGGUGGAAACCCAGACAGUCAUGAAGGUGGAAACCCAGCCAAUACCAAAGGCAGAAUCUGGACCUGUUACAAAUGUGGCAACUCAAAAUAUUGCAGGGGUGCAGGUUCAGCCUAAGGCUAAAACUAAAAAACCGAAGACAGAAAAGCCAAAAAAACCUAAAAAAGUUCAGGUUAUCACAUACUUUGGUCUUGUUUGGAGGAAACAUAAGAAUGACACUGGUGGAGAAGAUUUCAGGGCCAAUGAUGUAAUCCUAAAAAGCAAGGAUGGUAUGGGUUCUUCAAUAAAACCAGCUUGCUGUCUCUGUAACAAACCUUACAGUCCAGAUUUCAUGUAUGUCCGCUGUGAGAGGUGCCAAAAGUGGUUUCAUGGUGAUGCCUUGCAGCUUGAGGAAGAAAGAAUAAAUGAGGUGGUUCAAUACCGAUGCUGUAGAUGCCGAAGGAGAGCCAUACCACAAUGUCCUCAUUCAGAUGAUUAUAGGGAGCCUGAACCAGAAGUCAGUGAACAAACAGCUACUAUGUCAUCACAAUCAACUAUGCUCUCUGGUGAGGAGACUUUUGCUAUAGCAGUUCAAGAUCCACUGCUUGCUUCAUAUGGAAUAGUUGAACCGAUUGGGGAGGAGUCAAUGAAUGCUGAUUUGUCAAUGAACAUGGGAAGCCAUAUGCCAGGAAGUAAUCAGAAGUUGUCCAUAAGAAGGGCACAAGUAGUUAAGAAUUCUGAAUACCUUGAUCAAGCUGGAACAUCAGUGAAUGGGUAUUAUGUUCAGAACCAAACUCCAGGGGAUGCAAACAUUAAUUUCAGUCACAUGAAUGAAUUUUCCAUGUCAGAGGCUGAUGGUGUGGACGCUUCGGAGCUAUUGGGGUGGGAUUUUACCCAAGGAAACGGAUAUGCUGUUGGUCCUGAUCAGGGCACUAACUCCCAGUGGAAUGACACUAGCGGUGGCAGCAUUGUGGCUGAGGAAUAUGAACCACAGACCUAUUUCUCAUUCACAGAGUUGCUCGAAGCUGAUGAUACACAGUUUGAUAACACAUUCGGGAUGUCUACUGGUCUGCAAGAUGAUGGUAACUUUGCAGGAAGCUUUGAUCAGCAAGGGGCUAGUUUUGAUGAAUUGACUUUCAUGGUAGAAGAAGAGUCUUCAAAUAUGCACUUCCCAACAAAUGAUCCAUCCAUUGACGAGUUAGUGUGCCACAAGUGCAAGGAUCCUCAACAGCCACCUGAACUCAAAUGUUCUUCCUGUGGCCUGCGUGUACACCAUCAGUGCUCACCUUGGCAGGAAAGUGAACAGCCUGGUGACAGUGCCAAUUGGAGGUGUGGUACUUGUCGGGAGUGGCAAUGA
rnacentral:rRNA from 1 species